UGGGUGUGCGACGCUGGGAUCGAUCAGGAAGGGUAAACCCCUUUUUCUUCUCUAGUUCCUCAAAUCUCUAACAAAUUGAAGGUGUUUCUAGGCAUAAAUCGAAUGCAUGUGACCAAAUUCUCAACCAUCUAAGGGUUUCCUACAUAGGGAGUGAAAGAAGAAUGAGCUAAUUCUGGUUCGCAACAAAAGGCUCAAGAACGAGGUAAAACCUCAAUUUAAUCGGUUCGGCGUCUUGGAACGAGCACCCACAUGUAUUUCGCCUAUAAGCGUUUCCGCUACUUUUAGUAACAAAGUUAUGGUUAAAAGUAUUUUGUUGUAAUUAGUCUUGUUUAAUAACUAGACUUUUGGAGUUCGACUUGAUGUGUCUUUUUAAAAUUUUC